rnacentral:rRNA from 1 species
UUGACCUCGGAUCAGGUAGGGAUACCCGCUGAACUUAAGCAUAUCAAUAAGCGGAGGAAAAGAAACCAACCGGGAUUGCCUCAGUAACGGCGAGUGAAGCGGCAAGAGCUCAAAUUUGAAAGCUGGCUCCUUCGGGGUCCGCAUUGUAAUUUGCAGAGGAUGCUUCGGGUGCGGCCCCUGUCUAAGUGCCCUGGAACGGGCCGUCAGAGAGGGUGAGAAUCCCGUCUGGGAUGGGGUGUCCGCGCCCGUGUGAAGCUCCUUCGACGAGUC